rnacentral:lncRNA from 1 species
UUUUAAUUAAUUUGAAUUUUCUGAGCUAAUUAUUUGCAUUAUUAUUUGCAGGGAAAAUUUUGGAAACACAAUUUGGGACAUUUGGAGGAGACAAAAUAAAGUCAAGACUCUUCACAUGGACAUUUCAAAUUUAAUUACUUUGAAACUUAGUAGUCUAGAUAGUUUUAAUUAUAUUUGUAAACAAUGGGCCAAUUUUUGGUAAAAUAGUUUAGGCCCAAAAUGUUAGAAUAGGACACAUGCACCUUAGGGUUUUUAGAGGUGGACCCCACCUAUUUUUGGGGGUGACACUUGGUCCUAAGAAUAGAGGGGAGCCGUCACUUUUUGCAUUGCUAGACUUGGUAUUUUUCUUUUGGCUGGCUCUGUAACGUUUCUUGGGGGAUGAAUGAAGAAUCAAUGGUUUAAUUUUUAUUUUAGUGCACACGUUAUUGGAAGGAAGAAAAUGCUUCUCUUAAUUUUCCAUUUCCAUUGAGAUUGUAUUGUGCAUUUGCCGAGACAAGCACUGUCCUGCAAUGGUUCACUUCUUUUUUUUAUUUGCUACCAAUGUUGAUUGAUGGGAAACAUUUUACUUGGAGUGUGCUCACGGUUACAGCAUUUGAAAGUCAAGCUUAAAUUUCUUCUCUGCACUCAAUAUGUGUUGAUUCUCGUGGAUAGAAUUAGAGAAUUUUGGUGAUUGAGCUGGACGCUGUCACGUCCUGGAUUUUGGGAAGCACCAUUUAAUUACUUUCUUGAUUACCCAUUAGGUUCUGUUGCAAAGUUGAC